rnacentral:rRNA from 1 species
UACGUAGGGGGCAAGCGUUAUCCGGAAUUACUGGGUGUAAAGGGAGAGUAGGCGGCAUGGUAAGUUAGAUGUGAAAGCCCGGGGCUUAACCUCGGGAUUGCAUUUAAAACUAUCAAGCUAGAGUACAGGAGAGGUAAGUGGAAUUCCUAGUGUAGCGGUGAAAUGCGUAGAUAUUAGGAAGAACAUCAGUGGCGAAGGCGACUUACUGGACUGAAACUGACGCUGAGGCUCGAAAGCGUGGGGAGCGAACAGGAUUAGAUACCCUGGUAGUCCACGCCGUAAACGAUGAGUGCUAGGUGUCGGGGGGGAACCCUCGGUGCCGCAACUAACGCAAUAAGCACUCCACCUGGGGAGUACGACCGCAAGGUUGAA